UUCGGGAUCUUUAGGCUUAUCUUCAGUCUUGGGACGAGGAAGAUGAAUAGUAUGAAUUUGUACUCCUUCAAUAUUAGGCCGAAUAAUGGACCGGAGAUUAGUUGAGGAAUGCUUUUUAAGCUUAACUGGAAUAAGAACUGGUUCCCCGGCGUCAGUCUUUGCAUGCGCAAGAAGACGCACAUUUGCAUAAUGUACUUCGUGAGCAAUAUCAAUUACUGGAUCUUGGUUAUCUUCAGGCUUAUUUCGCAAAAGAAAAAUUGGUACUUUGACGGAUCUCACAUUAACCCCCUCUAUGGUAAUACCGUUUGUGUAUUUGUUUGUCUCAACAACACGGCCCCAUUUUCCUUUCAGAGGUCCUUGAUGAACAUAUACAUAAUCCCCUUUAAAAAUAUGCCAGAAAGGGACUCUGUCAGCUGGCUUUCCAAACGGUAACUCGGGUUUAGCGGAUUUAUCGUCUUUAACAGUUGGAUCAGAUUUAUUGAGGUGUUCGCGUAUUUUGGUUCGCAUAUGCAACGGUAAAGGCUUUUUCAU